rnacentral:rRNA from 1 species
AUGUUUAGGAAAAUGUACCAAGGUGGUUGUUCAAGGAAGCAAGCACACAGGUUUGCAAUGCGUGGUGUUGAUGAUGAACCACCAAGGGACGCUCCAGUGCGGCCUUGUGAAUGGCCUUUAGAGGACUUCAUGGAUCAAGCAGGAAUCAAGGAAGAAUUUAAUGCAUAUUUGCGUAACGCUGAUCUUGUGAGCUUCGAGGCAGACAAGUGCCGUCAGUACCACUAUCUCACUAGUUCCUUUGUGAGGAGGUCAGUAUCUCGUUCCGCUAGCUACCAUCCAAGCGUACCGGAACCCUACAUCAGCCACAGAGCCAGAGCCGGAACCACAAUUUGA